GCUUGUCAUUGAAUAUUUUAUUUGCAAAUGAAGUAUUAAUAACUCAGAGUCCGUAAAAAUAUACUUUUUUUUUUUACUUGUAGAGGGACAUAUUUACAAGAAUGGAUCUUCUUCAAAAUGAACCAACUGGUGUACAAAACUCAAAAUGUGUGCAACAGCAAAUAGAAAUGAAGAUCAUGAGUAUUUUCCCUUCAGUCUCACCAGAAGAGGACUCUCAGGAACAGGCCCGAGUUCCCACAUUCACAAACAAAAACAAAGAAUAGCAAAAAACCCUCAAGAUAACAGAGGAAAGCACAGUAAAUGUUAAAACAAAGCAAUGUGAACGCAAAAAGAGACAGAGAGGAUGUUGGUCAUAUUUACACUUACAUAUUCAGCCGAAUACAUGUAUGAACACUGAAGCAAAGCAUUCCCAAUAUCUGACCUUUAGGCCAUAACAUGCAAUUCCUUUGCUUUUCCAAUGGAAAAGAAUUCCCCUUAAAGUAACACAUACUGCUACAGUUUCUAAGAGGAGUCGAAGGAGCCUUUUUAGACAUCCAACAUUAUUUUAAUAACAACCAUGUUGGGUAACAAUGAUCGGUUAGAGGCUACAUACACAGUCGAGUAUGUCUUUUAAAUAGAGCAUUAUAUCAAAAAUACAUCGCAGAUGGACCUUAACUGAUUCCCUGGAUUGAGCUCCCAUUCAAAACUGAAUGUCCUCAUGCAAUGUGAGCACAGCUUCAGAUGCUUUGGCGGCUCUAUGAAAGAGUGUACAUACACUGAUGGUUUCUAAACACCAUGCCAGCUGUUUAACAGUGUUGAAAUAAAAGCCACUAAAGAUUAAUUGUCUGAGGAAAUAGGCCGGUUCUUUUUGCUGGAAGACGCUGGGGAAGGAAUAAAAAUCACCUUAAGUGCCUGAAUGUGAGAACAGAACUGCUGGAAGGCAAGCUUUCAAUCAGCUUUCCUAAUAAAGUGGGCCGAUCUUGGCUAGUUUGGUGCUGUAAUGUCCUAAAAUAAAAAAAGGACCAAAAUAAACAUAUAACAAUGGUUCUGUUCCAAAACCUACAGAGCUGCCUAUUUAGGUAGCAUUUUAAAGCAUUUGAGGCUGUUACAAAAGGUUCUGAGAUACCUUCCAAUGGCCAGCAUCACCUGGAUCAUUAUAAUGUAAUUGCAUGAUGCAUUGCACAAAGCAAAAAAAAAAAAAAAAAUCCAAAUUGGUCAGGGCAAUGUUGAUUAAUAAAAUUCUUAAAAAAAAAAAAAUGGUUAGAUAUAAUUAAAACAGACUAUUUGAGUAAAUAUUUGUGUAUUAUGCAUUUUAUGCCUUAUAACAGUACGAAUCUGAAACUCCGAAAUGUACCUUUAGCUUUGAAACUGUAUUGAAAUCACAAUCCUCACCCUUUAAUUUUAGAGUUUGGCGUUAACAUGUUCCUUAUUGAACAGUACAUUCUAAGUUAGAAUUAGUCAGUUAGGAUGCUGCCUUGGAUGCUCUUUAUUUACGUAGGCAGUAGAUAGCAAGGCCACAUUUUGUAAAUCGCAAUCAUCUGAUGCAUUUCAAAUAGAAAAAAUUCCAUCCAAGAUGAUGGACAAAGAGCGGAAAAUGAUAACUAGAGUGUGUCGUUAGCUUAGCAUCAUGUUAACGCCAAGCUCUGUUGAAAUCAAAACACACUAAAUGACUUUUGUCCACUGUAUAGAGUGUUCCACACCAGUCAUGUGAGGUUCCAUAUUAACAGAGUGCAACAUUCGGGCUCCAGAAGUAAAAAUCAUAUUUUUAAAAAUCUAUCUAUGGGAAAAAUACUUCAGGAACCAAGGCCACUGAAUGUGGAUGGGAACUAUUGCACUCUAUUAGGAUGCUAACCAUAGAGCCAGCUACAUAUAUAGGCAGUAGACAGUAAGGCAGCUCAGUAGGAUUUGAAACAGAGCAAAUAUUUCAAGACAAGUAGAGUAACUGCCCACAAAAACAGCCGUAUUGUGAAGGUCCAGUUGUAUGGGUUUCAUCUUGGUCUCUUUUUUUAAGGUGAAGGUAUUGGAGAACCUAUGUAGGGUAUCGACCCUGUGUUCUCCUUACAAUUCCCAUCAUUCACUCCCUACUCUGCAUGACAGCCCAUCCAUCACACUUACUGACAACAGUUCAGCCAGCAACACCGCCUACACUGCCUCGUGGAGAAUGUGGCUCUGGAGAGCGCGUCUCGAGUGUGUCUCUAUUUAUGAGGUCGUUAGUGUGUGUGUACACUUGGGAAGAAGUGUGUCCGUGUGUAUCAAACACAUUUGCUGGGGAAGGUAACAAGAAGGCAGGCGAAUUGGCAUAGGCAGUACUCUGCUACAUUACAGACUGAAACCAGGUUGACAAAUACACUUGAAAGUGGCCCCAAAGGAGUGCUGUAUGCUUGCUUCCUUAUGUCUUAUGGCUUUUCCUCUCUUAAAUAUUAGGCUCCAUCAAUGGCAGAUAUACAAGUAGCCAUUAAGAAGGAAAUGAUUUUACUUAUUAAAGGGAGCUUAGUGGGUCAGGGGCUACAAUGACCAAUUAUUACUCUCUGAAAAUGCAUAAUACCUCAUCUACAUCAUUAUCAUGACCUAUAACCCCAAUCUUCAACCGAUAACUUAAAGGAUAUUGUGUGCGUAUAUUUAUCUGUAUGUACAAUAUAAAACAACAUCAUGACUACAGAGUGUACAUUAUUCGUGUGGCUGCAUUUGGACUGCCUCUUUGUGCCAGAGUGCUCCCUCCCUCUCUGCUGAUGAGGGCCGUUUUACACAUGGCUUCUGGUACAUUGCAAAGAACCAAGGACAAAAGCAAUCUCGGGGGAAGAAUUCACUGUGAAGACACACAAAACAGGCAACUUGUCCACUUCAAAUUUCACAAAUGCACCAAGCAAGGUCUUCCCAGGGGCUUCGAGACACCACUAAUGGAUAGGGUUUUGACAGCGCUUGGCGGACGAAGCCGCGGGGCGGCUGGCACAAAGAGCCAGCCAUCUUGAGACAGCCUGCUGUUAGAGGGUCCUAGGAGAAUCCUGGGACGGUACCGUGGUGCAAACACUAACUAGAAGGAGAGUACCGCAAAUGCGCACACACGCUCUGUACAUAAGUCCCUGUUAUGGUAUUCCCUUUCAAUUACUUGUCGAACAGUAUUGUGAGAUUAUAGUCGAAAGUUACUUGUGCCUCAUAUGCUAUUGUGUAGUACCACUGGGUAUUCUAGAAAAGAAGGGAAAAAAACAAAAAAACAAAACUAUCUUUGACUUAUACACAUUCAUAGUAUUCAUGGCAGGUUUUGGUUUCAGUAUCACUUGAAAUACAGCUGUAAUAAAUAUACCAUGCUCGGUAUGUAAUACAAACUG
ensembl:lncRNA